CCUACGGGAGGCAGCAGUGAGGAAUAUUGGUCAAUGGACGAGAGUCUGAACCAGCCACGUAGCGUGAAGGAUGACUGCCCUAUGGUUUGUAAACUUCUUUUAUAAAGGAAUAAAACGAGGCACGUGUGCCUUUUUGCAUGUACUUUAUGAAUAAGGCUCGGCUAACUCCGUGCCAGCAGCAGCGGUAAUACGGAGUAUCCGAGCGUUAUCCGGAUUUAUUGGGUUUAAAGGGAGCGUAGAUGGGUUUUUAAGUCAGUUGUGAAAGGUUUGGGCUUAACCAUAAAAUUGCAAUUGAUACUGGCAGUCUAGAGGAAAGGUGAGGUAGGGGGAAUUCGUGGGGUAGGGGUGAAAUGCGUAGAGAUCAAGAAGAACCCCGAGUGCGAAGG
rnacentral:rRNA from 1 species